AAAGAUUUUAAAUUUUAUUGCUGAUAAGAACUUGGGGAUACUCAAUUGUCUUGAUUAGCCACUGAAACGGAAGAGUGAAACAGCAAAUUAUGAACAUGGAGUCGGUGCACAGGUUGCAGGUUCUGGAUCCAAUCUCAGGGAAAGCUGGAAAGUCACAGAAAGUACCUAGGACAUCAAAGGCCAGGUCUGAUAGAAAAGAAACUCAAAAACAGGAUCCCAUGGAAGGGGUUAGAUGUCUCAAGACCAGGGGAAGUUGAUGAGAGUGUUACAAGAUUGCAGGCAGGAGUAGAAAAUUUGACGAUAGAAGAAAGUAGAUUAGAUGAACAGAUAAGGUUAUCUUCUGAUGCCUCUG